rnacentral:rRNA from 1 species
CGAAAGCCUGACGGAGCAAUACCGCGUGAGGGAGGAAGGCUCUUGGGUCGUAAACCUCUUUUCUCAGGGAAGAACACAAUGACGGUACCUGAGGAAUAAGCAUCGGCUAACUCCGUGCCAGCAGCCGCGGUAAUACGGAGGAUGCAAGCGUUAUCCGGAAUGAUUGGGCGUAAAGCGUCCGCAGGUGGCUAUGUAAGUCUGCUGUUAAAGAGUCUAGCUCAACUAGAUAAGAGCAGUGGAAACUACAUGGCUAGAGUGCGUUCGGGGCAGAGGGAAUUCCUGGUGUAGCGGUGAAAUGCGUAGAGAUCAGGAAGAACACCGGUGGCGAAGGCGCUCUGCUAGGCCGCAACUGACACUGAGGGACGAAAGCUAGGGGAGCGAAUGGGAUUAGAUACCCCAGUAGUCCUAGCCGUAAACGAUGGAUACUAGGCGUGGCUUGUAUCGACCCGAGCCGUGCCGUAGCUAACGCGUUAAGUAUCCCGCCUGGGGAGUACGCCGGCAACGGUGAAACUCAAAGGAAUUGACGGGGGCCCGCACAAGCGGUGGAGUAUGUGGUUUAAUUCGAUGCAACGCGAAGAACCUUACCAAGGCUUGACAUGUCGCGAAUCCUGGUGAAAGCCGGGAGUGCCUUCGGGAGCGCGAACACAGGUGGUGCAUGGCUGUCGUCAGCUCGUGUCGUGAGAUGUUGGGUUAAGUCCCGCAACGAGCGCAACCCUCGUUUUUAGUUGCCAGCAUUAAGUUGGGCACUCUAGAGAGACUGCCGGUGACAAACCGGAGGAAGGUGGGGAUGACGUCAAGUCAGCAUGCCCCUUACGCCUUGGGCUACACACGUACUACAAUGCUCCGGACAGAGGGCAGCAAGCAUGCGAAUGCAAGCAAAUCCCGUAAACCGGAGCUCAGUUCAGAUCGCAGGCUGCAACUCGCCUGCGUGAAGGAGGAAUCGCUAGUAAUUGCAGGUCAGCAUACUGCAGUGAAUUCGUUCCCGGGCCUUGUACACACCGCCCGUCACACCAUGGAAGCUGGUAGUGCCCGAAGUCAUUACUCC